rnacentral:rRNA from 1 species
UUGGCGGACGGGUGAGAAACACGUUGGAACCUGCCCCGAAGAGGGGGAUAACUACCCGAAAGGGUGGCUAAUACCCCAUAUACUCCGAUUUAUUCGGAGGAAAGCUUUUGCGCUUCGGGAGGGGCCUGCGUAACAUUAGCUUGUUGGUGAGGUAAAAGCUCACCAAGGCUACGAUGUUUAGCUGGUUUGAGAGGAUGAUCAGCCACACUGGGACUGAGAUACGGCCCAGACUCCUACGGGAGGCAGCAGUGAGGAAUAUUCCACAAUGGGGGAAACCCUGAUGGAGCGAUGCCGCGUGCAGGAAGACGCUUUUCGGAGUGUAAACUGCUUUUAAUAGGGAAGAUUAUGACGGUACCUAUAGAAUAAGGACCGGCUAACUACGUGCCAGCAGCCGCGGUAAU